rnacentral:rRNA from 1 species
AAAUUGAGAGUUUGAUCCUGGCUCAGGAUGAACGCUGGCGGCGUGCCUAAUACAUGCAAGUCGAACGCUUUGUGGUUCAACUGAUUUGAAGAGCUUGCUCAGAUAUGACGAUGGACAUUGCAAAGAGUGGCGAACGGGUGAGUAACACGUGGGAAACCUACCUCUUAGCAGGGGAUAACAUUUGGAAACAGAUGCUAAUACCGUAUAACAAUGACAACCGCAUGGUUGUUAUUUAAAAGAUGGUUCUGCUAUCACUAAGAGAUGGUCCCGCGGUGCAUUAGCUAGUUGGUAAGGUAAUGGCUUACCAAGGCGAUGAUGCAUAGCCGAGUUGAGAGACUGAUCGGCCACAAUGGGACUGAGACACGGCCCAUACUCCUACGGGAGGCAGCAGUAGGGAAUCUUCCACAAUGGGCGAAAGCCUGAUGGAGCAACGCCGCGUGUGUGAUGAAGGGUUUCGGCUCGUAAAACACUGUUGUAAGAGAAGAAUGACAUUGAGAGUAACUGUUCAAUGUGUGACGGUAUCUUACCAGAAAGGAACGGCUAAAUACGUGCCAGCAGCCGCGGUAAUACGUAUGUUCCAAGCGUUAUCCGGAUUUAUUGGGCGUAAAGCGAGCGCAGACGGUUAUUUAAGUCUGAAGUGAAAGCCCUCAGCUCAACUGGGGAAUUGCUUUGGAAACUGGAUGACUUGAGUGCAGUAGAGGAAAGUGGAACUCCAUGUGUAGCGGUGAAAUGCGUAGAUAUAUGGAAGAACACCAGUGGCGAAGGCGGCUUUCUGGACUGUAACUGACGUUGAGGCUCGAAAGUGUGGGUAGCAAACAGGAUUAGAUACCCUGGUAGUCCACACCGUAAACGAUGAGUGCUAGGUGUUUGAGGGUUUCCGCCCUUAAGUGCCGCAGCUAACGCAUUAAGCACUCCGCCUGGGGAGUACGACCGCAAGGUUGAAACUCAAAGGAAUUGACGGGGACCCGCACAAGCGGUGGAGCAUGUGGUUUAAUUCGAAGCAACGCGAAGAACCUUACCAGGUCUUGACAUCCCUUGACAACUCCAGAGAUGGAGCGUUCCCUUCGGGGACAAGGUGACAGGUGGUGCAUGGUUGUCGUCAGCUCGUGUCGUGAGAUGUUGGGUUAAGUCCCGCAACGAGCGCAACCCUUAUUACUAGUUGCCAGCAUUCAGUUGGGCACUCUAGUGAGACUGCCGGUGACAAACCGGAGGAAGGUGGGGAUGACGUCAAAUCAUCAUGCCCCUUAUGACCUGGGCUACACACGUGCUACAAUGGCGUAUACAACGAGUUGCCAACCCGCGAGGGUGAGCUAAUCUCUUAAAGUACGUCUCAGUUCGGAUUGUAGGCUGCAACUCGCCUACAUGAAGUCGGAAUCGCUAGUAAUCGCGGAUCAGCACGCCGCGGUGAAUACGUUCCCGGGUCUUGUACACACCGCCCGUCACACCAUGAGAGUUUGUAACACCCAAAGCCGGUGGGGUAACCUUCGGGAGCCAGCCGUCUAAGGUGGGACAGAUGAUUAGGGUGAAGUCGUAACAAGGUAGCCGUAGGAGAACCUGCGGCUGGAUCACCUCCUUUCUAAGGAA